rnacentral:rRNA from 1 species
UACGGAGGGGGCAAGCGUUGUUCGGAAUUACUGGGCGUAAAGGGCUCGUAGGUGGCCAACUAAGUCGGAUGUGAAAUCCCCAGGCUCAACUUGGGAACUGCAUCCGAUACUGGAUGGCUUGAAUCCGGGAGAGGGAUGCAGAAUUCCAGGUGUAGCGGUGAAAUGCGUAGAUAUCUGGAGGAAUACCGGUGGCGAAGGCGGCAUCCUGGACCGGCAUUGACACUGAUGAGCGAAAGCCAGGGGAGCAAACGGG